CGUUGGUGACCAGCGGAGGGAUCAUUACCGAGUUUACAACUCCCAAACCCAAUGUGAACCAUACCAAACUGUUGCCUCGGCGGGGUCACGCCCCGGGUGCGUCGCAGCCCCGGAACCAGGCGCCCGCCGGAGGGACCAACCAAACUCUUUCUGUAGUCCCCUCGCGGACGUUAUUUCUUACAGCUCUGAGCAAAAAUUCAAAAUGAAUCAAAACUUUCAACAACGGAUCUCUUGGUUCUGGCAUCGAUGAAGAACGCAGCGAAAUGCGAUAAGUAAUGUGAAUUGCAGAAUUCAGUGAAUCAUCGAAUCUUUGAACGCACAUUGCGCCCGCCAGUAUUCUGGCGGGCAUGCCUGUCCGAGCGUCAUUUCAACCCUCGAACCCCUCCGGGGGUCCGGCGUUGGGGAUCGGGAACCCCUAAGACGGGAUCCCGGCCCCGAAAUACAGUGGCGGUCUCGCCGCAGCCUCUCAUGCGCAGUAGUUUGCACAACUCGCACCGGGAGCGCGGCGCGUCCACGUCCGUAAAACACCCAACUUCUGAAAUGUUGACCUCGGAUCAGGUAGGAAUACCCGCUGAACUUAAGCAUAUC
rnacentral:rRNA from 1 species